rnacentral:SRP_RNA from 1 species
GCCGGGCAUGGUGGUACGUGCCUGUAGUCCCAGCUACUCGGGAGGCUGAGGUGGGAGAAUCACUUGAGCCCAGGAGUUCUGGGCUGUGGUGUACUAUGACAAUCAGGUGUCUGCACUAAGUUUGGCAUCAAUAUGGUGACCUCCUGGGAGCGGGGGACCACCAGCUCGCCUAAGGAGGGGUGAACCGGCCCAGGUAGGAAAUGGAGCAGGUAAAAACUCUCGUGCUGAUCAGUAGUGGGAUCGCACCUGUGACUAGCCACUUCACUCCAGCCUGGGCAACAUAGCGAGACCCCAUCUCU